CAUUUGCUCAGAAUUAACACUGAGAAGAAAAGGAAAAACAAGAAAAACAACAAACUACUGAAUACUGCAAUUCCAGAACAGACACCGCUUUGACGAUCGUGUCGGGGGUUAAAAGAGUCCGAGAGAGUGAGGGCUCAGGUCAUCAGUGCUCCAUAGCGUGCAGCGUGUGGCAGCAGACAGCGGGAGACUCCGCACACAUGUGGACUUCACAUCAGCGCCAGCGGAAGGAUGAGUCGGGGAGACAGCACAGCGGCCCACUCCGAACUUACUUAAGGGCAGAAACAGGCUACAAUAUGGGACCCUUUUUCAAGGGGAGUUUAAAGAAUGCAGAGCGGUUUCCAGGGGAUACGAAUGAAAAGCUCUCGGAAAUGCGGGGAGGAAUUGAGCUGAAGGGGUAGGUUCUGAGAGAAAUUCCCCAAUAGUGUUGGGACCCAUGCUAGGAAUCACCGGGGUUCUUAUGAUCACAAAAAGGAAGGAAGAGACAGAGGAAUUACCUGUCAGGACGUUCUAGGAGACGUGUUUAAUGAAUUUUGUUUAUUAAAAAAAGAGCAAGCGAG
ensembl:lncRNA